ACCCGCUGAACUUAAGCAUAUCAAUAAGCGGAGGAAAAGAAACCAACAGGGAUUGCCCUAGUAACGGCGAGUGAAGCGGCAACAGCUCAAAUUUGAAAUCUGGCGUCUUUGGCGUCCGAGUUGUAAUUUGCAGAGGGCGCUUUGGCAUUGGCAGCGGUCCAAGUUCCUUGGAACAGGACGUCACAGAGGGUGAGAAUCCCGUACGUGGUCGCUAGCCUUUACCGUGUAAAGCCCCUUCGACGAGUCGAGUUGUUUGGGAAUGCAGCUCUAAAUGGGAGGUAAAUUUCUUCUAAAGCUAAAUACUGGCCAGAGACCGAUAGCGCACAGGUAGAGUGAUCGAAAGAUGAAAAGCACUUUGGAAAGAGAGUUAAAAAGCACGUGAAAUUGUUGAAAGGGAAGCGCUUGCAGCCAGACUUGCCUGUAGUUGCUCAUCCGGGUUUUUACCCGGUGCACUCUUCUAUAGGCAGGCCAGCAUCAGUUUGGGCGGUUGGAUAAAGGUCUCUGUCAUGUACCUCUCUUCGGGGAGAACUUAUAGGGGAGACGACAUGCAACCAGCCCGGACUGAGGUCCGCGCAUCUGCUAGGAUGCUGGCGUAAUGGCUGU
rnacentral:rRNA from 1 species